AUGGCAAAAUAUUGGUGGAGUAGCUCUAUCGACAAGCGGUCGCUCCCCUCGAUUUCUUGGCAGAAACUUUCAACACCAAAGUGCAAAGGGGGGAUGGAGUUCCAAGAUCUUCACAUCUUCAACCUAUCCUUGCCUGGGAAACAAGGAUGGCGACUUGUAACAAACCCCAACACUUUGUGUGCCAGAAAUCUGAAGGGCAAGUACUUCCCUAACUCGGACUUCAUGCAAGCUACAGCUCCCAAGAAUUCUUCUGAUACUUGGAGAGCUAUCAUCUCUGGACAAGAAGCUUUGCUAGUUGGUUUGAUUAAGAGAGUAGGGGAUGGGUCCUCCAUUGCAGUCUGGGAAGAUCGCUGGAUCCCGUCCACUACAUCGAUGUCCACACUGUUUCGACCAACGAACACAAAUAUAUCCAGGGUUGACGAGCUGAUUGAUACUGCAACCUGGACUUGGCGAAAGCAACUGGUGUGGGACACUUUUAUUCCGCCUGAUACGGAAGCUAUUCUGAACAUCCCGCUCCGUUCUGGAGGCGGAGAGGAUUUCUAUGCAUGGGCACAUGAGCCCUCAGGCAGCUACACCGUCAAGUCGGCAUACCGAGUUGUGAUAGCCUGA
rnacentral:rRNA from 1 species